rnacentral:rRNA from 1 species
GACGAACGCUGGCGGCGUGCCUAAUACAUGCAAGUCGAACGCAGUGGGGACGGGUGAGUAACACGUGGGUAACCUCCCAUCAGAGGGGAUAACACUUGGCAACAGGUGCUAAACCGAUACUGAUGGAUGGACCCGCGGUGCAUUAGCUAGUUGGUGAGGUAACGGCUCACCAAGGCCACGAUGCAUAGCUGGUCUGAGAGGAUGAUCGGCCACACUGGAACUGAGACACGGCCCAGACUCCGACGGGAGGCAGAAGUGGGGAAUAUUCGGCAAUGGACGAAAGCCUGAACGAGAAACGCCGCGUGAGUGAAGAAGGUUUUCGGAUCGUAAAACUCUGUUGUUAGAGAAGCGGUAACUAACCAGAAAGCAACGGCUAACUACGUGCCAGCAGCCGCGGUAAUUC